AGUGAACGCUGGCGGUAGGCCUAACACAUGCAAGUCGAACGGCAGCACAGUAAGAGCUUGCUCUUACGGGUGGCGAGUGGCGGACGGGUGAGGAAUACAUCGGAAUCUACUUUUUCGUGGGGGAUAACGUAGGGAAACUUACGCUAAUACCGCAUACGACCUACGGGUGAAAGCAGGGGAUCUUCGGACCUUGCGCGAUUGAAUGAGCCGAUGUCGGAUUAGCUAGUUGGCGGGGUAAAGGCCCACCAAGGCGACGAUCCGUAGCUGGUCUGAGAGGAUGAUCAGCCACACUGGAACUGGGACACGGUCCAGACUCCUACGGGAGGCCGCAGUGGGGAAUAUUGGACAAUGGGCGCAAGCCUGAUCCAGCCAUACCGCGUGGGUGAAGAAGGCCUUCGGGUUGUAAAGCCCUUUUGUUGGGAAAGAAAAGCAGCAGGUUAAUACCCCGCUGUUCUGACGGUACCCAAAGAAUAAGCACCGGCUAACUUCGUG
rnacentral:rRNA from 1 species